CUGUGAUUUAAGGCCUGUGCUUCAACAGUAAAUCGAUCUGAGUGGAAGAGCCUGAGUGGCCAGCAGCAGAGAAGCAAAUCCAGCAAGCACGCCAGGAAUGAUGGAGUCUGGUGUGAUGAAUUGCUGACCUGACCUUUGUCCUUGCCAUUCUGAUGUAUCAUCAUCGCCUGGCUCAACAGCACAGGUAUGGGCCUUUGAAACGAUGGAUGCAUUGUUAGCUCAGCCAUUAUUAACGCCCAGGCUCCAGCAUGG
rnacentral:lncRNA from 1 species